rnacentral:rRNA from 1 species
UACGGGGGGGCAAGCGUUGUUCGGAAUUACUGGGCGUAAAGGGCUCGUAGGCGGCCAACUAAGUCAGACGUGAAAUCCCUCAGCUUAACUGGGGAACUGCGUCUGAUACUGGCUGGCUUGAGUGCAGGAGAGGAACGCGGAAUUCCCGGUGUAGUGGUGAAAUGCGUAGAUAUCGGGAGGAACACCAGUGGCGAAGGCGACUACCUGGCCUGUUCUUGACGCUGAGGCGCGAAAGCUAGGGGAGCAACGGGG